rnacentral:rRNA from 1 species
UGCAGUCGAGCGAACAGACGAGGAGCUUGCUCCUUUGACGUUAGCGGCGGACGGGUGAGUAACACGUAGGUAACCUACCUAUAAGACUGGGAUAACUUCGGGAAACCGGAGCUAAUACCGGAUAAUAUUUCGAACCGCAUGGUUCGAUAGUGAAAGAUGGCUUUGCUAUCACUUAUAGAUGGACCUGCGCCGUAUUAGCUAGUUGGUAAGGUAACGGCUUACCAAGGCAACGAUACGUAGCCGACCUGAGAGGGUGAUCGGCCACACUGGAACUGAGACACGGUCCAGACUCCUACGGGAGGCAGCAGUAGGGAAUCUUCCGCAAUGGGCGAAAGCCUGACGGAGCAACGCCGCGUGAGUGAUGAAGGUCUUCGGAUCGUAAAACUCUGUUAUUAGGGAAGAACAAACGUGUAAGUAACUGUGCACGUCUUGACGGUACCUAAUCAGAAAGCCACGGCUAACUACGUGCCAGCAGCCGCGGUAAUACGUAGGUGGCAAGCGUUAUCCGGAAUUAUUGGGCGUAAAGCGCGCGUAGGCGGUUUUUUAAGUCUGAUGUGAAAGCCCACGGCUCAACCGUGGAGGGUCAUUGGAAACUGGAAAACUUGAGUGCAGAAGAGGAAAGUGGAAUUCCAUGUGUAGCGGUGAAAUGCGCAGAGAUAUGGAGGAACACCAGUGGCGAAGGCGACUUUCUGGUCUGUAACUGACGCUGAUGUGCGAAAGCGUGGGGAUCAAACAGGAUUAGAUACCCUGGUAGUCCACGCCGUAAACGAUGAGUGCUAAGUGUUA